rnacentral:rRNA from 1 species
CUUGANCCUACGGGAGGCAGCAGCAAGGAAUCUUGGGCAAUGGGCGAAACCCUGAUGCAGCAACGCCGCGUGAGCGAUGAAGGCCUUCGGGUCGUAAAGCUCUGUCCUAAGGGAAGAUUUAGACGGUGCCUUAGGAGGAAGCCCCAGCUAACUACGUGCCAGCAGCCGCGGUAAUA